UACGUAGGGGGCUAGCGUUGUCCGGAUUUAUUGGGCGUAAAGAGCGUGUAGGCGGCCAGGUAGGUCUGCUGUGAAAGUCGGGGGCUCAACCCUCGAAUGCCGGUGGAUACUGUCGGGCUAGAGUGCGGAAGAGGCGAGUGGAAUUCCUGGUGUAGCGGUGAAAUGCGUAGAUAUCAGGAGGAACACCGAUGGCGAAGGCAGCUUCCUGGUCCAAUUCUGACGCUGAGGUGACGAAAGCGUGGGUAGCAAACAGG
rnacentral:rRNA from 1 species